rnacentral:rRNA from 1 species
UCGAGCGCAGGAAGCAAGUUGAUCCCCUUCGGGGGUGACGCUUGUGGAAUGAGCGGCGGACGGGUGAGUAACACGUGGGCAACCUGCCUGUAAGACUGGGAUAACCCCGGGAAACCGGGGCUAAUACCGGAUAAUACUUUCUUUUGCAUAAAGGAAAGUUGAAAGGCGGCUUCGGCUGUCACUUACAGAUGGGCCCGCGGCGCAUUAGCUAGUUGGUGAGGUAACGGCUCACCAAGGCGACGAUGCGUAGCCGACCUGAGAGGGUGAUCGGCCACACUGGGACUGAGACACGGCCCAGACUCCUACGGGAGGCAGCAGUAGGGAAUCUUCCGCAAUGGACGAAAGUCUGACGGAGCAACGCCGCGUGAGUGAUGAAGGUUUUCGGAUCGUAAAACUCUGUUGUUAGGGAAGAACAAGUUGGAUAGUAACUGACCCAACCUUGACGGUACCUAACCAGAAAGCCACGGCUAACUACGUGCCAGCAGCCGCGGUAAUACGUAGGUGGCAAGCGUUGUCCGGAAUUAUUGGGCGUAAAGCGCUCGCAGGCGGUCCUUUAAGUCUGAUGUGAAAUCUCGCGGCUCAACCGCGAACGGUCAUUGGAAACUGGAGGACUUGAGUACAGAAGAGGAGAGUGGAAUUCCACGUGUAGCGGUGAAAUGCGUAGAGAUGUGGAGGAACACCAGUGGCGAAGGCGACUCUCUGGUCUGUAACUGACGCUGAGGAGCGAAAGCGUGGGGAGCGAACAGGAUUAGAUACCCUGGUAGUCCACGCCGUAAACGAUGAGUGCUAGGUGUUAGGGGGUUUCCGCCCCUUAGUGCUGAAGUUAACGCAUUAAGCACUCCGCCUGGGGAGUACGGCCGCAAGGCUGAAACUCAAAAGAAUUGACGGGGGCCCGCACAAGCGGUGGAGCAUGUGGUUUAAUUCGAAGCAACGCGAAGAACCUUACCAGGUCUUGA